AACGAACGCUGGCGGCAUGCCUAACACAUGCAAGUCGAACGAGACCUUCGGGUCUAGUGGCGCACGGGUGCGUAACGCGUGGGAACCUGCCUUUAGGUUCGGAAUAACUCAGAGAAAUUUGAGCUAAUACCGGAUGAUGUCUUCGGACCAAAGAUUUAUCGCCUUUAGAUGGGCCCGCGUUGGAUUCGCUAGUUGGUGGGGUAAAGGCCUACCAAGGCGACGAUCCAUAGCUGGUCUGAGAGGAUGAUCAGCCACACUGGGACUGAGACACGGCCCAGACUCCUACGGGAGGCAGCAGUGGGGAAUAUUGGACAAUGGGCGAAAGCCUGAUCCAGCAAUGCCGCGUGAGUGAUGAAGGCCUUAGGGUUGUAAAGCUCUUUUACCCGAGAUGAUAAUGACAGUAUCGGGAGAAUAAGCUCCGGCUAACUCCGUG
rnacentral:rRNA from 1 species